UCUUCUAUAUCAAAAUAAAAGUAAAAAAAAAUGAAAAUAAAAACCUAAUCACUUCUGCGGCUCUGCCUCUUCCCCUUGCAUCCUCAUCAAAGCCGCGCAGGACCACUUUUCUCUCGUCACCAUCAAGCUCACCUCCGCUCUCAACCUCACGCCGUCCAUGACCGCCGUCAUGCUCAUCGCCCUCGGAAAUGGCGUCCCGGGCGUCUUCGUCUCCGUCCGCCGUGACAACUACCGGAUCUGAUUCGGCGGGAUCCUCUCUGCCUGGACGUUCUUCGCGGUCUACGGGGCCGGUUUCACUCAACCUGGCGAUGUUCAUGAGGAACGUCAUGUUCUAUUUGAUUUCAGUUCUUGUUCUAUAGGACCGGGUAAUUUUUGUAGCCACCGCCUUCCGCGCAUCACAUCGCGAAGAAAAACAAAGGGUGUUUUAUCGAACCAAUUUGAGGCCGCCUCAGAUAGAUUUUUGAAAUUGCAUGAUAAGCUUAUUGAUGCAUGCUAUUCCAAAACGCUCUGUUGAGAAAGUAGUUGGCAGUAGCUAAUGAGUAUUGGGCCAUUGGCUUUAACAUUUUCGGUCAACUCAAUGGUAUUACUAAUCAGUAUAUCCAAGUGUGUAACAUAGACCAGAUGUCCUCAUGAGUGCUUUACUUAGUUUGAAGGACAAGCUCAAGCAUAGUGUUAGGAAGAUUCUGAGUAUGCAUGUUUAUAUGCAGUCAUUAAGCUGAUCCUUUUUCUUCUCUGAGAGCGGUGGAGUUGGUGGAGUUUUCUAAUCCAUCAGUCUUUGCCAUGGUACAUUUACUUGAUUUCCACAGCCUUGUUUGCAGGGCAUGUGGCUGUGGUCAUGGAUGGUAAUGUGAGAGGUUGGGUCAUGAGGCAUGUAGUGGCCUCAAAGAAAUCUUGUUGAGCAAUGAUCUGUGUUGGAAAUGGAGGUUAGGGUUCAGAACGUUUCUGUGCUUUCUUAUGAUAAUUGGUUUUGUUCCAAGGUUGGUUGUUAAUGAUUAUGACAAUGCAUGAGUUUCUAUGUUUCAAGAUGCAUCUGAGGGGAGCUCUAUUUGGUUAUACCCUAGCCUCCUCCCUUAUAAUUUAUUUGAACUGUGAUUAUGAAGGUCUCUUUGGGAUAGGUAACAAUAUCUCAAGCUUCUCAGUACUGUUUGAUUUGUGAAAAGAAAGUGGUAACAUUCUACGAAAGAUGAUAAUGAAAUUGUGUUCUCAAAAGAGACAAGCGGCAGCAUUGUUGUUGCGAAAUGCUACUAAUUACCUAGAUUUAGAUUCACAUGUCGUCAAGUUUUUGUUCAUAUUAUGUUGUAUCGGUUCAUUGCGACAUAUGUGUAUUAUGUAACAAAUAAUGACAACAAAUCGUCACGUACUAACUGAUACUAAAUUGUAACUAUGAUACAACAAUUCACAGUUAUCUUGUA